rfam:Capsicum annuum cultivar Zunla-1 chromosome 5, whole genome shotgun sequence
UGCUGAUGAUGUGGACAGUCCUAAGGAAAAGCUUUGAACCUCUCUCAUGCAUGAUAUAAGUUCUCGUCUGGCAUCUGUUUAAAGAUAAAAAUAUCACUGUGCAGUCU